rnacentral:rRNA from 1 species
AUUGAACGCUGGCGGCAGGCCUAACACAUGCAAGUCGAGCGGUAGCACAGAGAGCUUGCUCUCGGGUGACGAGCGGCGGACGGGUGAGUAAUGUCUGGGAAACUGCCUGAUGGAGGGGGAUAACUACUGGAAACGGUAGCUAAUACCGCAUAACGUCGCAAGACCAAAGUGGGGGACCUUCGGGCCUCAUGCCAUCAGAUGUGCCCAGAUGGGAUUAGCUAGUAGGUGGGGUAAUGGCUCACCUAGGCGACGAUCCCUAGCUGGUCUGAGAGGAUGACCAGCCACACUGGAACGGAGACACGGUCCAGACUCCUACGGGAGGCAGCAGUGGGGAAUAUUGCACAAUGGGCGCAAGCCUGAUGCAGCCAUGCCGCGUGUAUGAAGAAGGCCUUCGGGUUGUAAAGUACUUUCAGCGAGGAGGAAGGCAUUAAGGUUAAUAACCCUAGUGAUUGACGUUACUCGCAGAAGAAGCACCGGCUAACUCUGUGCCAGCAGCCGCGGUAAUAC